UACGUAGGGUGCAAGCGUUGUCCGGAAUUAUUGGGCGUAAAGAGCUCGUAGGCGGUUUGUCGCGUCUGCCGUGAAAGUCCGGGGCUCAACUCCGGAUCUGCGGUGGGUACGGGCGGACUUGAGUACUGCAGGGGAGACUGGAAUUCCUGGUGUAGCGGUGAAAUGCGCAGAUAUCAGGAGGAACACCGGUGGCGAAGGCGGGUCUCUGGGCAGUAACUGACGCUGAGGAGCGAAAGCGUGGGGAGCAAACAGG
rnacentral:rRNA from 1 species